GAGCCUCUCAGGCCACAGCCCACUUCUCUAGCUGCUGACUUACCCAAGACUAUUUCAGUCCUUGUUCUAGAACAGGUGCCUCUAGUGAAUCUUAGAAGAGAUGCCAUAGGUUGAUGAGAGCUACAGUCAGCUGCUUCAUUCCAAAUUGACCAUAUGCUUGGAGUCUGAGAAAAGUUUCCUCUUAGGCCAUAUCAGCAAGCUGUACUCCCAAGUACUUAUGAGCAGCACAGGUGACUGAAUGAAUCAGCCCUGAUAAUUCAGGGUCAAGUGAUGCAAGAAAAACAAUUCUUUUGGCCUUUGCUGUUUCAUUUCUGGGAAAGUAAAUCUCAGAGAAUGCUGAGAAUGUACCCUUUGUUUCUCCUCCUGAGGACCUGAAUCUAAAAUCCUGAAGACAAUGUCUUUAUUCUAAGACAGGGCUUGCAAGCGCAGAUGCCUACAGGGCCUGGCUCAUUGAAUGGGGACUCUUGGGAAGUGAGUGACCUGGGAGCACCUUUGUUGUGCCAUCUAUAGCAAAAAGACACUUGGGUGCAAGUGGGAAUCUUGAGUCACUUUGAGGAGCAUUGCACAAAGCCCUAUGUCUUCAGCCAAGUGCACCCUUUCCUUUUCUGGCUCCAGGAAGUGACAUGGCCUAGCCAUGCAUCCUGGCACCACCAAGGGCCCGUGACUGCCUCUGCUUCCAUGUCCCUUUCAGUCUCUACCUCUACAAAUGCCUCAGCUUUUACCUCCACUCCCAAUUCCAUUCGGCCACACUACAUCUCUCUGCCACAGCCUCAGAGAAUCCUGAAGACACUGCUGUGAUUAUUGGCCUGACGCACCCUGUGGUACCACUGAGAGUUGUGAAGUUGUCUACCAUUCUACUGCAUGAGUUGCAGUAGAACCCCUGGCUGGUGAGAGGGGCAGCAAGAAAUGACCUGACAUUGCUACUCCUCCAAGAUGUCCAGACUACCAUUCGGCUCUUAGUACCCUUAGGGAGUCAGUGUGUCCAGGAAGUGACAUUAUCUGCAGACCAAUACUGGCAAUGGCAGUUGGAGACAAAUAGGCUUCACCAGUCUCAAAGCCCUACCUACUACAAUGAGUCCACACUUCUCCUGGAUUUUAUCUACUUCAGCAAAAGAAGGCCACCCACCAAACCAGGCCAUUGUGCUUUGGGUGGAAACUCCUAAGUCCUAUAGUCUCCUUAAACAGCCAACCACACUGCCACUUUCCUCAAUAAUUACUGCAGCCCUGAGACUUUGGUAGCCUAGUAACUAUAACUACUGAUGCUACAGUCUGGUCACAGUAUGAUAAAACACCAGAGCAACAAAAACAAAAAUAUUGACUUAAGCCUUCUAAAAUCUCUCUAAAUAUACCUUCAAUAAAUAUGUUUUUUUCUACAGAACAACUGCUUUCUACUUCCUGAACUAACGUUUGGCCUUGGAUUUUUCUCAUUGUUGAAAUUGAUUCAAAAGUAUACAUUUAACAUGAAGGUGAUUAUAGAAUUUCAUGUGUCAGCAACUAAAAUUUUCAAAAUGAU
rnacentral:lncRNA from 1 species